UUUACCAAAGGCUGUCUACUUUUUGGUGGAGGGGAAUGCCCAUCCACCGGAAGAAGCAAGCCUCGGACUGAGGUCGCAGCUCAAAGCCUCGGACCACUCCGCCGCCGCGCCGGCGAUCUCCUCCGGCCACCCGCUCGACGGAAUGUCCCGGAGAAACACCACCGGGUGGCCGGUGCCUCGUGGCGGGGCGGAGCCGACGGGGAAGCCAGGGCCCAGCGCGCCGGUCCGUGCCGCCCACGCGUUCGGCCAAAUGCCUCGGAGGAGGACCACCACCACCGCGCGGUGGGUGCGGCGCCACCAAGUGCACAAGGGGAAGCCCCGCGGCGCCGCCACCGUCGACCGACUCAGCGCCCUCCCGGACGCGCUCCUGCACCACGUCAUGUCGUUCCUCAAGGCGUGGGAGGUGGUGCGCACCUGCGUGCUCUCGCGCCGCUGGCGCCACACCUGGGCCUCCGCGCCGUGCGUUGACAUCCGCGCUCCGAGCUCUCGCCGCGAGCGGGGUCCCGGCCGCGACAGCGACCCGCCGGAGGACUUCGGCAGGUUCGUGUACCGCCUGUUGCUGGCGCGGGAGGUUUCCGCACCGGUUGACACGCUCCGGCUGCGGUCGAGCAACGGGGAGGAAUAUGCCGAGAUGUAUGACAAUGAUGAUGUCAACAUGUGGAUCUCUUCUGCGAUCAAACGCAAUGCUCGAGUCAUUCACCUUAACGGGCACCGCGAGGACGACGACCUGGUGUUGGAGCACACUGCCUUUGUCUCUCAACGCCUCAAGAUCUUGAAGCUGUCGAACGUCAAUCUUGAUUGGAAGAUCCCCAGACAGCUCUCUUCUCGGUGCACUUCCCUUACAGAGCUAGAGCUUAACAAUUGCCCGGUUAAUGGCGGCGAGAUUUCGUCCGUCUCACUGAAGAAACUGAGGAUGGUCAAAUGCUUGAUCACUGUGGACCUCUCGAUCUGUGCUCCAAACCUUGAGUUGCUAUGCUGCAUCACCCCAUACCAUCGUGUUCCCUUGUUCAAAAACCUGAGCUCACUGGUUGCCGCCACUAUCGUACUUGAUGACUCUUUCUUGUGCCGUGACGAUUUCCUCCAUGAGGAUGAAAGGGGAAGCAGCGAUGAUGAGGAUGACAAUAAGACUAUAUCAGAUCAUUAUGAUAAAAUGGUUACUAAUAGUGAUGCAUGUGGUGAUGGUAAUUUGGUUGAUGAAUACAAUUAUGGCUCUGAUAUUGACAGUGAUGACGAUAUAUAUGAAUAUAGUCAGAUAGCAAAUGAAUGUAGAGAUGGAAAGUAUAGCCACUGCCAUGACAGUGAAUGCUGCAGUAGUUAUCAUGACACUUGCAAGCUUGCCAAUUCUUUCAGUGGCCAGGAUUUGCUUUGCAGCCUUUCGAAUGCCAGAAGCUUGGAGUUACUAGCUCAUUCAGGGGAGGUGGUCAUGGUUAGGGAACUGAGAAGGUGCUCAACAUUUGGCAACUUGAAGACCUUAUCCCUUGGUGAGUGGUGUAUGGCUGCUGAGUUUGAUGGAUUAAUUUUCUUACUUCAGGAGACACCUAAUUUGGAGAGGCUUUUUCUUAAGCUUGAAUUGAACUACGAUAACAAGGAGGCAGUAAAUAUUGGUGUCAAACUAAAGGAAAGAUCAUUUGCCUGCAAAAAUCUUGAAGUGGUGAAUAUUAGAUGCUCUAAAGAUGAUGGAAGAGUCCAUAUGUUAGCAGAACUCUUUGGUGCUAAUGGGUUACCUCUUGAGAAGAUUUUUGUUCGCCGAACAGGCAGCACCUACCUUCGUAACAUGAAAAAAAUGAGAAAAAUUGCCAGGGAUGAGCUGCGAAAAGCUAGGUGGUUCCAGCUGUUAAAUCUAUAAACACUACAUUCUAAGGACCUGAUGGCCAACAAAGUUAGACUUCAAGCACACUGAUUACUCGUCCAAAGUUGUGAUCGAGCUUACCUCGGCCCAAGAAAUGUUACAAAAUAACUAUGCGAUUAUUUAGAACCAUCAAAUUAUAUAGCAUUUACAAUGAAUGAAGUGUCAAGCUGGUGAUCAUAGCCAUGGAGUAAAUAUUAGAUGGCUCUUGCUAAGAUUGUGUUGGGAGUUUGGCCACCAGAGCUGAACAAAGAUCACAAAGCUAGUUCAUGCACUAUCGGUCCACCACCAAGCAUCUGCUGCAACAGAAUCACAUGUCCUACUUUGUUAUCUCCAGUUGAACGGUAAAAGAAAACCUGCUCUAUUUUGGCCAGCCUAAAUUGAACAUGAAUUCCCAUUGCCUGUCAUUCCUACUGAUUUUUUUUUACUGCCUAGUUAGAUCAUGGUUCCUUACACUGUCUUUCAUUUGCUUCCAUGAUCCUGCAUUCUAUAUAUCAUGGGUGAGCGAUGGCCGAUGGGUACGUGCAAUGUAUGGUAUGUCGUCAAAAAUGUGAAGUAGCACACCAACCAUCUGAAAGGGUUUGGAGAUCCAAGUAAAGGUAGUUCAGAGUGAUUUCUGGACAAACUAAGAGAAACUAGUUAGUGGUUGGUGGUAAAAUCCAGACUCUAAACAGAAAAUUGUGAUACAAACUUCCAGUUAUUUUUCUUCCUUUCUUCACUUUGUUGUUCCAAUCCUAAUAAGAGAUAAUUGCAAAAUUUAUUUUUUUUUGUUGGUAGCAGUUGCCUAACCACCAGCUAAGCAGGAGCACACCACACACUUGUACAUCCAAAUAUGUGAUCUAAGUCAAUGAUGAAUACUCCUGGUUAACUGUUUCAGCUCUA